rnacentral:rRNA from 1 species
AGUGAACGCUGGCGGCAUGCCUAACACAUGCAAGUCGAACGGCAGCACAGCAGUAGCAAUACUGUGGGUGGCGAGUGGCGGACGGGUGAGGAACACAUCGGAAUUUGCCCAGUCGUGGGGGAUAACGUAGGGAAACUUACGCUAAUACCGCAUACGACCUUACGGUGAAAGCGGGGGAUCGCAAGACCUCGCGCGGAUGGAUGAGCCGAUGUCGGAUUAGCUAGUUGGUGGGGUAAAGGCCUACCAAGGCGACGAUCCGUAGCUGGUCUGAGAGGAUGAUCAGCCACACUGGGACUGAGACACGGCCCAGACUCCUACGGGAGGCAGCAGUGGGGAAUAUUGGACAAUGGGGGCAACCCUGAUCCAGCAAUGCCGCGUGUGUGAAGAAGGCCUCGGUUGUAAGACUUUAUCCGUACGAACGUAGCGGGUGGAUAGACUCGUAACUGACGGUACCGGACGGAAUAAGACACCGCGUACUUACGUGUCCAGCAGCCG